rnacentral:lncRNA from 1 species
GUUGGGCAAUUAUAGUUAAAUGAAUGGAUGAAUAGAUAAAUAAAAGGCAGAUUUCAAAAGGAGGAGCAAGAAGUUUCAGGUGAACGUAUACUCACAAGUUGUUGCAAAUGGGCCAUAAAGUAAAUUCUGAGCAUAGACUACUUGGUUAUAAUCAAUUAAAAUGAAACAUUUUAUUAAAUCUUUUUUUCUUGUUAAGUUAUAGUCAUAUAUGUGUGUCUUCCCCAGGAAUUACAUGAGACUGUAUAACAAAGCACCUAGAUCUUUGCCUGGCACUUACUGGGCACUCAGUCACUAAUUAUUAAGUGAAAAAUAACCAGAGAGGAGACCUUCUAGACUUUAUAUUAUUUUUUCCUUUUUUCAAAACAGUUCCCAAUGAAAAUACGUAAAAUAAUUUAUUAAUUGCUAAAAUAUUAUAAAACUUGACUGGGUUUGUAUUACUGUUCUGUUAUCUACGUAACAGAAUCGCUACGUAUCUAUUCAACUAUGUAAUAUCUAAUUAUUAUCUGAAUUUAAAGUAGAGAUUUUUAAAGCAAAUAUCUUUUGCUUUAAAAACAAAGAUAUUUGAGCCUAAAGAAUUCUUUCAGAGUAUUGAAAAGGCAUCUCAUUGAAGGUGAGCUGAAUUUUGAGGCUCAUUUGUAAAGGCUCUUCUCACUGUACCUCUCCUCCAGAAAUUAAUUUAUAAAAUAAUUCUACUGAAAUUUACUCCUUCUACUAAAUACAUCUACUGACAUUACUCCUUUUAUUAAAGAGAAACAGUAACUUGUAAAAAGUCACUUCUAAGUUCAUUUUGUUUUUCUGUCUUUUUUUUUUAAAUUAUUUAUUUAUUUAUUUAUGAUAGUCACAGAGAGAGAGAGAGAGGCAGAGACAUAGGCAGAGGGAGAAGCAGGCUCCAUGCACCAGGAGCCCGACGUGGGAUUCGAUCCCGGGUCUCCAGGAUCGCGCCCUGGGCCAAAGGCAGGCGCUAAACCGCUGCGCCACCCAGGGAUCCCUGUUUUUCUGUCUUUUACCCAAACAGCAACUCUAAUUUGUAAACAUUUUAGUGUUGUAUUUUAAAAGGAUACUAUUGCCAUGUAAAAAUUUUGGUUAGCAUAGAGCUUUAGUAGAAUCCAUUGCAAAUGCCAAGCACGUGUAUUUUUGCCUCUGGUUCCCAAUUCAAAUAAUUUUUAUCCUCAUUUCUCUCUAUUGCAGAAGUACAGAUCAUGUUUCCCUUUUUUGGCAGUUAGUUGAAUACUUUAAAAAAAAAAUCAAAACAAUUAUUCAUUGCCCUCAUGUACCCCAGCUUCGCACAUUUCUGUAGAUGCUUUGAUCAGCUGAUUGCCUUAAUGACCGACGUCUGAUCUUUUUGAAUAUGGGAAUACUCAUUAGGUAACAUGGUCUGAAUUACCCCAUAUCCACACUGGUGUUCUCUCUCUUUUACAGAUAGGAAAGGAAUUUCUCUGGAAUUUCCCUAAGACUACGUACGGCUUAAUUCCCCACUAUAAUCCCUGAUAGGGGUUAAGGGGAACAGGUGAACUUCUGAGUUGUUCCACAGAAUAUGAGUUCUGCCAGCUAAAUGGAACAUUAAAAUUUAGAACAUUCAGCACAAAAACAUCUGAUCAGCUUGCAUAUGGAAACUCAAAAAAGAUUGUGCUGCAUUAUACAGUUAAAAUGUAAGACAUAAACAUUGAAGUUGCAUGGCAUCAGAACCACUUUUAGAAUUUUUAAUGCAAACAUUAUCUCACAUGCAUUGCCUCUUGCUUUAACUUCUGUAAUUUGAGUAUGUAUGCUUUUUUUUAAAAUAUUUUUUUCUUUAUUUAUGAUAGUCACACAGAGAGAGAGAGAGAGAGAGAGAGGCAGAGACACAGGCAGAGGGAGAAGCAGGCUCCAUGCACCGGGAGCCCGACAUGGGACUCAAUCCCGGGUCCCCAGGAUCGCGCCCCGGGCCAAAGGCAGGCGCCAAACCGCUGGGAUCCUGAGUAUGUAUGCUUAAUGUCCCUUAGAGAAGGGAGGGAGCCUGUUUGGGAGAAAUAAAGUUUAAAGAGUAUAGGGGAGUCAUUCAGCCAUUCCUGUCUUUCUGAAAGUGAAUGUGUGUUUCUCAGAGUUGGAAGAUGUUCUUUCACUUCUUGAUUGUGUUUCAUAGUAUGAACAACUCCCUCUCCUGAGUGUGAGUCUGGCAUUCUUGAACAGAUAGGCUAUUUCAUCUAUAUUCAGCUGAAUGGACAGGUAUCUGAACAGUGCUAGAGGAAAACUGACUGUUUUGGCCUUACUGAACGAUAAUAAUUUAUAGGCUGACUUGAGAGAUAUUCAGAGGUAAUUUUAAUUUUGACUGGGCAAUUUUUGCCUUUUACAAUGACUUUAGAACCUAAUUCUGGAGUAAGAUGUAACAUUGCUGUACUUUCACAUGCAUUAAAGAUUAACUAGAUCAACAGAGCUGAAGCAAAUGGAAACAUUUGAGAAUAAAUGGCUGAACAUUCAAGGGUGCCUGGGUGGCGCAGUUGGUUAAGCAUCUCAGGGGUGUGGGAUCAAGCUUUCUGUUGAGCUCUGUGCUCCGUGUGGAAUCUGCUUGAGUUUCUCUCUCCCUCUCCCUCUGCCCCCUCCCUGCACUCUGUCUCUCUCUCUCUAAAAUAAAUAAAUCUUAAAAAAAAAUAUUAAGUAAGAUAUAGAUAAAUAAUUCUUUAAUCAAUCAGUUUUCUUUAAAGGCUGGUUAAUGUACUUUCCAGCUUCUUAAAAUUUUGGCCACAGAGAACAAGUGGGAAGGAAGGGAUUGAUUCAGGAUAGUUGUAGUUAAAUUAGCCAAAAUAAGGGAUUCUAGAGAUCUUGAUAUAAAUACAUUAAAUAAAAAGCUGGUCAUUUUCAUUAAAUCUGAUGGUUAAAAAGGCUUUAACAUUAAUCUAAAGUUUUAAAAAUAUACAUUCUUGAGGAAUUGCCUAGUAGCUAAUAAGUUAUAUGUCAGACCCUGUUUAAUGCUGUUUAAUCUUCACAAUUGUAGGUGGGUCAAUAAACACUAUUCUAAGUGCUUUAUAUAAACUCAUUAGAUUCUCAACAGCUCUAUUUCGAGUAAGGACUGUUGUUAUGACAACCUUGCAGAUGAGAACCUGCAGUAUAGUCACAGUCAGAAAGGCACAUAGCUAUUAAAAUAGAUGAGUCAGGAUUCAAAUUCAAACUGGCUCCAUUUCCUAUACUCUUAACUUGUCUUCUGUUCUGAUCUCUUACAUUCUUGUGUCACAUACAAAGCUUUCCAAUGCCCACUCUGGUUUAUGGAAAGUUGCUUCUUUGAGGAUUGAGACUAAGUUAGCAAAAAUUUUCUCAUUUUUACCAGAGGCAUGAAAUUGGAGAGUGGUUAUAACCUCAUUUCUAAUCUUAUAUCAGACCAGAUCAUCAGUAAGCUAGUUAGUUCUAUAUUUUAGUACAGGUGGUACCUCUCUCCCUCCACUGCCAUUUGAACAUUUGCAUUAUGCCAUUCCACUUUUGUGAAAGACCUCCAUAAGUACCUGUUUUCACUAACAGAUAUCUCAAGAGGAUUUUUGCUUUUAUGGAAAAAAAAAAAAGGUGAAAAGCAAAAAAUAGUGUUCAGUGUUUGUUUUGCAUUGAGCCCCUCUGUAGAGGCAGCACACACCCCACGCAAUGAUAGGCCUAGCCAAACACCUUCCUGGGGAACAAUACCCAGCAUCAGAGUUGCCAUAGCUUUAAACUCUUUGACUGUUUUAUUUCACGUUAUUUUGUGCAUCUGUUAGCAAGAUACAUUAUAAGGUAUCAGAAAAACCUAAGACAGGGUGUUCUUUGGGAGGGGGUGGUCUAGGAACACUCAGCAAUUUUUCUAUAUCAAUUAAUGGUAAUUGCUCUUCACUUUAUACCGUUUCUGCUUAUAAAAGUUUUCAUAGGAAUGCUCUGCUUUUGGGUAAUGGGGAACCUGUAUCAUUCCCUCAUAUUUUAUCAAUCUUUUUAAGAUGCAGUUACAUAAAAAAAUUACUUCAUCUCCUAUAAUAUUUUUGAAUGCAUUGUCUUAUAUAAUGUUUAGUGUUCCCUUUAUAAGAAUUCAUGUGACAAAUUCUUUGAAGAUUUAGUUUAGACAAAAGUUUCCUUACGACCUAGCACACUUCCUUCUAUUAGCCAUUGAGAAUUAUUUAGCCCAUCAUGUUUUUUAUUUGCUUGGGCUGCAAGGAAGUUUGGAGUUAGAUUUCAUUUUAAUUACAGUAACUUUAUUAGUCUAGGCUUUUGGAUGGAAAAUUUCUUUUCUAGUUCUCUGUGGCAGGAGUUUUUAAUCCCCUCUCUGUGUAUCACCAUCACCCUCUGAAAUGAUAGGUAAAAUUGUUUUUGUGCAUAUGACAAUCUGGUGGAGUAUCUUUGGCUUUUAUCAAAUGCUUAGUGACCUCCACUCUUUGCCGUUAAGAUAAAGAACCAUUGUUUUCUGGGUUUACUUUUCAUUUUAUAUUUUAAUGGCCUAAUUGUUUGUACAAGGUCUCUUAGAAGCUGCUGAUACCCUUUUAGGCAGUAGUUGGGCAAUAAAUCAUAUCUUUACAUUUAAAUAAUUAUCCUGUGUCUUAAAUUUGCCAUAAAGUUAAAAAGCAUCCUCUCUGUAUUUUUAAAAGCACUCAGUCUUGGAAACUUAAAGGAUACUUGAUAUUAGAGAGCAGGGGAAGAUGGCAGAGUAGGAGGAUCCUGAGCUCACUUCUUCCCAUAGACACACCAUGAAGCAACAGUUAGGUGAAAUACAACCAGCAGAGCAGAUCUUCCACAGCUAAAGACACAAAGAGGAAGCCACAUUUAGAAUAGUAGAAGAAGCCAGAUGUGAUUGGGAUCCAGACCCCCAGUGUGACGACCUACAAGUGGGAGAGCCAUUAUAGAGACUCUUGAAGGUCCUCCCUGAGGUGGCAGGGGAUCAAGCUCCACAUUAGGCAUUAGAGAUCUGCCUUAGAGAUCUGCAUUGACAAGAUGAACCCCCAUAAUGUCUGGCUUUAAAAAUCAGUGACUUAAUCCUGGGGUAGCUGGAGGGCUGCAGGAAACAGAGGGUCAGUGUGUUGUAUCACUCAGUGGAGAUCCAGCUCAAAAAGUAGUUUGAAAAGUGCCAGGGUUAAUUAAAUGUGAAGGAGAUUUACUGAUUAAUUUUAGAGUGUGUACUAGAGGGACAAGGAUCUGUGGGAGCUUUCUGUAAGAACAGAGUGCUGGCAGGUGCUGUUUUUCUUACCUUCCUUCCUCGCUGGCUGGACACUGGUUGGGGUUCUGACACUCUCCAUCUGUGUUGUUGGCAUUGCUUGCCCAACCCUGGUGUUCCCCUGCAGACUUGUCCCACUCAAACCCUUCUGUCACAGCAGAUACCCCAGCAAAACAGCUCCUGCCCUGCCAUAGCUGACAGGUAGCCUCCAUGGGGACUAGUAUCCACUCAAAGCAAAUACCACCCUGCCACAUUUGGUGAGCAGCCGCAGCUGGGACUGGCACCCCUCCAAACCUACUCCUGUCAGGGAGGUGGGGAGCCAGCACUAAUAUCCAAUACUCCUCUCUGGUGGCUGGCCCCCCAUGUUAUCAUGUGUGCAGCAGCUAGAAUUGGGCCUCUCAGCCAGCCAUGCCUGUUAACCAGUGCACCCAUAAUGGUUUUGGCUGGUCAUUGCAGACACCCAGUCUGAGGACCAGCCCAGUCCACUAAGUGCCCAUGGCAGUUGCAGCACAAUCAGAACAGGGUUCAAUGCAGUCCACACAGGGGACACCCUGGAGUGCAUGGUCUAGUGACAAGGGGAGAGAUUGUGCUCUUGAGCACCACAGGACACCUUCUGUAUAAAGCCACUACUUUUAAGAUCAGGAGAUCUAGCUGACCUACCUACCUGUGUAGAAACAGUCCCACAAAAUGAGACAAAGGAGUAUGUUUCAAAUGAAAGACAAAAA